rnacentral:tRNA from 1 species
GGGUGUAGCUCAGUGGUAGAGCACAUGCUUAGCAUGCAUAAGGUCCUGGGUUCAAUCCCUAAUACACCCG